rnacentral:lncRNA from 1 species
CUCCAGGCACUCGGGGCCACUACCUGUCUGUCUCCGCGCUUUGGUGGCAGUGGUCCCCCGGGCCCAGCUGUCUUUCUUCCUAUCUCUUUGUCUUCUGUCUUUAUCUCUUCGAUCUCUCGUCUCCGCACACACGCGAAGAGAAAACCCACAGACCCGGUAGGGGUGGACCCUACAUUAUCUCAGCUACAACAUAAUCAGGAUAUUCACGUGGACUACUGAGUCUUUCGGUGCCCCCUUGCUGUUUUAGUUUUGUCCUGCGGCCGAGUGUUUCCCUCGCUUCACGCCAACACAAUCUCCGCCGCCCUGUCUUGUCAUCCCCAUUCUACAGCCCAGCACGGUGUAGUAUGGCAGCCGCUAGCCACAGGUAUCUAGGGAGCCCUGGAAAUGUGGUCAGUUCUAAUGGAGCUGUGCUGUAAGUGUGAAAUACACGUGGGAUUUUGACGGCAGUGGGAGCAAAAUUCUCCCAAUUUUUUUUUUUUUUUUUUUUUUUUUUCAGACGGAGGUUCCGCUCUUGUUACCCAGCCUGGAGUCCAAUGGCGCGAUCUAGGCUCUCUGCAACCUCCGCCUCCCGGGUUCAAGCGAUUCCCCUGCCUCAGCCUCCCGAGCAGCUGGGACUACAGGCAUGUGCCACCACGCCCGGCUAACUUUGUAUUUUUAGUACAGAUGGGGUUUCUCCACGUUGCUCAGGCUGGUCUCCAACUCCCGACCUCCGGUGAUCUGCCCAGCUGCCGCCUCCCAAAGUGUUGCUUGCGAUUACAGGCUUGAGCCACCGCUCACCCUGGCUUUUUUUUUUUUUUUUCCAGACAAACUCUCGCUCUGUCGCCCAGGCUGGAGUGCAGUGGCGCGAUCUCGGCUCACUGCAGCCUCUACCUCCCGGGUUCCAGCGAUUCUCCUGCCUCAGCCUCCUGGGUAGCUGGGAUUACAGGCGCAGGCCACCACGCCCGGCUAAUUUUUGUAUUUUUAGGGGGUUUCGCCAUGUCGGCCAGGCUGGUCUCGAGCUCCUGACCUCAGGCGAUCCGCCCGCCUCGGCCUCCCAAAGCGCUGGGAUUACAGGCGUAAGCCACCGCGCCGGGCUCUUUCAUUCUGUCUUUAUUUUCUGAGAUAGAGUCUCGCUCGGACGCUCAGGUUGGACUGCAACGGCGUGAUCUCGGCUCGCUGAAACUUCCGCCUCCCGGGUUCAAGCGAUUCUCCUGUCUCAGCCUCCCGAGUAGCUGGGAUUAUUGACGGGCAGCACCACGCCCGGCUACUUUUUGUGGUUUUUGUAUCUUCUGUCUUCUGCUCUUUACUACCGCAUAGAGCCGCA